rnacentral:miRNA from 1 species
UUGGCCUGUAGGAUGCUUUUG